GAAUGCUGACAUAAGUAACGAUAAAGCGGGUGAAAAGCCCGCUCGCCGGAAGACCAAGGGUUCCUGUCCAACGUUAAUCGGGGCAGGGUGAGUCGACCCCUAAGGCGAGGCCGAAAGGCGUAGUCGAUGGGAAACAGGUUAAUAUUCCUGUACUUGGUGUUACUGCGAAGGGGGGACGGAGAAGGCUAUGUUGGCCGGGCGACGGUUGUCCCGGUUUAAGCGUGUAGGCUGGUUUUCCAGGCAAAUCCGGAAAAUCAAGGCUGAGGCGUGAUGACGAGGCACUACGGUGCUGAAGCGACAAAUGCCCUGCUUCCAGGAAAAGCCUCUAAGCAUCAGGUAACAUCAAAUCGUACCCCAAACCGACACAGGUGGUCAGGUAGAGAAUACCAAGGCGCUUGAGAGAACUCGGGUGAAGGAACUAGGCAAAAUGGUGCCGUAACUUCGGGAGAAGGCACGCUGAUAUGUAGGUGAAGCGACUUGCUCGUGGAGCUGAAAUCAGUCGAAGAUACCAGCUGGCUGCAACUGUUUAUUAAAAACACAGCACUGUGCAAACACGAAAGUGGACGUAUACGGUGUGACGCCUGCCCGGUGCCGGAAGGUUAAUUGAUGGGGUUAGCGGUAACGCGAAGCUCUUGAUCGAAGCCCCGGUAAACGGCGGCCGUAACUAUAACGGUCCUAAGGUAGCGAAAUUCCUUGUCGGGUAAGUUCCGACCUGCACGAAUGGCGUAAUGAUGGCCAGGCUGUCUCCACCCGAGACUCAGUGAAAUUGAACUCGCUGUGAAGAUGCAGUGUACCCGCGGCAAGACGGAAAGACCCCGUGAACCUUUACUAUAGCUUGACACUGAACAUUGAGCCUUGAUGUGUAGGAUAGGUGGGAGGCUUUGAAGUGUGGACGCCAGUCUGCAUGGAGCCGACCUUGAAAUACCACCCUUUAAUGUUUGAUGUUCUAACGUGGGCCCCUUACCGGGGUUGCGGACAGUGUCUGGUGGGUAGUUUGACUGGGGCGGUCUCCUCCUAAAGAGUAACGGAGGAGCACGAAGGUUGGCUAAUCCUGGUCGGACAUCAGGAGGUUAGUGCAAUGGCAUAAGCCAGCUUGACUGCGAGCGUGACGGCGCGAGCAGGUGCGAAAGCAGGUCAUAGUGAUCCGGUGGUUCUGAAUGGAAGGGCCAUCGCUCAACGGAUAAAAGGUACUCCGGGGAUAACAGGCUGAUACCGCCCAAGAGUUCAUAUCGACGGCGGUGUUUGGCACCUCGAUGUCGGCUCAUCACAUCCUGGGGCUGAAGUAGGUCCCAAGGGUAUGGCUGUUCGCCAUUUAAAGUGGUACGCGAGCUGGGUUUAGAACGUCGUGAGACAGUUCGGUCCCUAUCUGCCGUGGGCGCUGGAGAACUGAGGGGGGCUGCUCCUAGUACGAGAGGACCGGAGUGGACGCAUCACUGGUGUUCGGGUUGUCAUGCCAAUGGCACUGCCCGGUAGCUAAAUGCGGAAGAGAUAAGUGCUGAAAGCAUCUAAGCACGAAACUUGCCCCGA
rnacentral:rRNA from 1 species